rnacentral:lncRNA from 1 species
CCCGCCUCCAAUAUUUCAACGUAGGUUCUAUUUUCCCUAAGUGUUAGCCAGCUGAGAAAUAAAAGAGUACAAAGAGAGGAAUUUUACAGCUGGGCCUCUGGGGGUGACAUCACAUAUCGGUAGGACCAUGAUGCCCCCUGAGCCGCAAAACCAGCAAGUUUUUAUUAGGGAUUUCAAAACGGGAAGGGGUGUACAAACAGGGAUUAGGUCACAAAGAUCACAUGCUUCAAAGGGCAAAAAAGGAGACCAAAGUUCACAUGCUUCUGAGGCCAAUAAAGAUCACAAGGCAAAGGGCAAGGCAAAGAUCACAAGACAAGGGCAAAAUUAGAAUUACUGAUGAGGGUCUAUGUUGGGCUGUGCAUGUAUUGUCUUGAUAAACAUCUUAAACAACAGCAAACAGGGUUCGAGAGCAGAGAACCGGUCUGACCUCAAAUUCACCAGGGCGGGAUUUUUUCCCCCACCCUAAUAAGCCUGAGGGUACUGCAGGAGACCAGGGCGUAUUUCAGUCCUUUUCUCAACUGCAUCAGACAGACACUCCCAGAGCGGCCGUUUAUACACCUCCCCCCCAAGGAAUGCAAUUUUUUUCCUAGGGUCUUGAUAUUUAGUAUUCCUUGCUAGGAGAAGAAUUUAGCGAUCUCUCUCCUACUUGCACACGCAUUUACAGGCUCUCUGCAAGAAGAAAAAUACGGCUCUAUUCUGCCCAACCCCACAGGCAGUCAGCAGACCUUAUGGUUGUCUUCCCUUGUUCCUUAAAAUCGCUGUUAUUGUUUGUUUUCAAGGUGCAUUGAUUUCAUAUUGUUCAAACACCCAUGUUUUACAAUCAGAUUUCAUAUUGCUCAAACACACGUUCUACAAUCAAUUUGUACAAUAGUGGUCCUGAGGUGACAUACAUUCUCAGCUUACGAAGGUAACAGGAUUAGGAGAGUAAAGACAGGCAUAGGAAAUUAUAAGACUAUUAUUUGGUAACUGAUAAAUGUCCAUGAGAUCUUCACAAUUUAUGUUCAGAGACUGUAGUAAAGACAGGUUUAAGAAAUUAUAAAAGUAUUAAUUUUGGGAACUGAUAAAUGUCCAUGAAAUCUUCACAAUUUAUGUUCCUCUGCUGUGGCUCCAGCUGGUUCCUCGGUUCAGGGUCCCUGACUUCCCGCAACAACGCUGUCUCCAACUUGUGCCAUAACCAGUCUUUAGCAGGUCAUGCCACCUAAAAAGCCAGCUGCUUCUGGGUGAUGGACCGUAUGGUAAAAUUUGUCAAGUCUGCACGCAUGGGCCCAUUGCCCACAUGCCCAUUUACCAAAAAAAUGCAUCUCCUUGUUAAAAUGAAGUUGGAUGGUAUUCCAUGGUGAUGGAGAAGUCCAUCCAUAAAAUCUACAGUGUGCCAUCAGAAGCCCUGAGUUCAGGGAAGGCAAAUCCAUAUCCAUAAUAUAUCCCGUGAGGACAAAGCAUUGUACCCUCCAUGACAAGAGACUGAAUAUAGUCAACCUGUUACCAGGUAGGUGGUAGAAGAAUGUGUCUACCAGAGGCUCCUCACCCUUACCUGCUCUGUGAUUCCAAGAGAUAAGGGACUCCUUCAAAGCUACCAUGGAGGCCUUCUGGUUCUCCAUGCCUGUCUUAAUUGUAUGCUCUUAACUUUUAUUUCUCCUAUUCCCAAAAUAUGCUCAAGAGGGCUAUAAGAAACAGGUGGCCUCAGUUUUAAUAAUCAUUAUUGUUGUCAUACUGACUUAAGUGCCUCAGACACUUCAUCUCUCAAGGCCUUGUCCUCUACCUGCACUUCAUUCCAUGAUGCCAUUGGCAAUAAUCUGAAUAACUGUGAUGACACUGCAUAUCACAGAUUACUAUGUCCCACUCACCCCUGGCAAAGAGGUUAUCGAUGCACUCCUUGAAUAUAUGACCAACCCAAUCCCAGAAUCCAAUUAUUUUAACUUUUUCUUUUGAAAUAAUUAUAGAUUCAUAGCAGGUUGCAAAGAAGUAUACAGGGAAGCCCUAUGCUUCCUAUCUCCAUCCUCUCCCAAGACUAAGAUCUUAAACAACUAUAGUACAAUAUCCAAAUCAACAGAUAGCAUUGGUACAAUUCACAAAACUUCUUUAGAUUUCACCAGUUACACAUGCACUAAUUUUCAUGUAUAUGGCUCUAUGUAAUUUUGUCAUGUGCAGCUUUGCAUAAUCACUACCAUCAUCAAGAUACUUCACUAUCACAAGAUUCCUUACUAGUACCUUUUUAUGAUCCUCUCAUUCCAAAUACCUGGCAUUAAGUAAUCUGUUCAUCUUUGUUAUUUAAUGAAUGAUACAUAAAUGAAAUCAUGUGGCAUGUAUCCUUUUGAUAUGAGCUUUUUUCACUCAACAUAAUUUGAGGGUCAAGUUGUUGCAUGUUAUCAAUACUGGCCAAUAGCUUUCCUUAAAAACAAACAAACAAAACCUGUUAGAUAGUAUUUCAUGGUAUGGAUGUACCCACAGUUUGCUUAACCAUUCACACAUUGAAGGGUAUGUGGAUAGUUUCCAGUUUGAAACUACUAUGAAUAAAGCUGCUAUGAACACUUACGUAAACAUUCUUGUAUACAUCCUAUGUGAAAAUAAGUCUCUAUUUCUAUGGGAUAAAUGUUCAAGUGUGUAAGUGCUUGGUCAUGUGGUUACUUGCCAGACUGGCUGCACCAUUUUACAAUCUCAUCAGCAUUGUAUGAGUGAUCUAGUUUCAACUUCAUCCUUUUCAGCACUUGGUGUUAUCACUAUUUUUCACGUUAGCCAUCCUUAUAGAUGUGUAGUGUUAUCGCAUUGUGGUUUUAAUUUACAUCUAACAGCUACUGAUAUUGGACAUUUUUUUCAGGUGUUGUUUAUCUGUAUAUCCUCUUUAGUGAAAUAUCUUUUGCUGAUUUUCUAAUUGGAUCAUUUUUAAACGUUAAUUUUUGAGACUUCUUUAUGUAUUCUAGAUAAAAGCCUUUGUUGGAUUUGUGAUUUGCAAAUAUUUCCUAUUAGUCUAUAAUUUUUCACAGAACAAAAAUCUUGAUGAAAUCAGAUUUAUCCGUUUUUCCUCUUAUAAAUUGUGCUUUUGAUGUCAAGUCUAAGUACUCUUUGCCCAAUCUUAGGCCCUGAAGAAUUUCUCUUAUUUUCUGUAAGUUUUAUAGUGUUAUGUUUUACCUUUAAACCUAAGGUCCCUUCAGUUUUUAUAAUUUUAAAUAUAUAAUUUUGAGUUUUUUAGUUUUAAUAUAAGGUGUGAGGUUUAGAUCAAGGUACAUUUUCGGCUGAUGGAUGUCUAAUCGCUCCAGCACAAUUUACUGAAAAGGCUCUCCUCAUCUGCUGAAUUGCUUUUGCUUCUGUGUAAAUAACUAGGUGAUUUGUGUAGAUUUAUUUCCAGGUUUUCUAUGCUAUUCCAUCAAUGUAUGUUUCCUUCUCUCUGCCAAUACAGCACGCUCUUGAUUACAGGACCUAUGUAGUAUAAGCAUUUGCAUCAGAAAGGGAUUCCUUCAGUUUUAUUCUUCUUUUUCAAAACUGUUUUAGCUAUUUGCAUAAUCUUUCCUUUUCCAUAUAAACUUUAGAAUAAGAUUGUCUGUUCCUACAAAAAAUUUUGAUUGGUUUGGUAGAAAUUGCCUUAAAUCAAUAGAACAACUUAGGGAGAACUAACAUCGAUAUUAUGUUGAGUCUUCCAAUCCAUGAACAUGAUAAAUUACCUUAUUUAGGUUUCCUUUAAUUUCUUUCAUCAGUCUUUUAUAAUUUUCAUCAUAUAGAUCCUACAAAUGUUUUGGUACAUUUAUACCUAAGUAAUUUUCUUUGGUGUAAAUGUAAAUGUACUUCAUUUGUUAUUUUGGUUUCUACUUGUUUGCUGUCAGUACACAGAAAACAUAAAUGACUGUUGUCUGUUGAUCUUGUGUCCUUCAACCUUACUCAUUGAUUCUAAAAGUUUUAUUACACAUUCCUUGAAGUUUUCUGGGUAGACAGUCAUGUAUCUGCAAAUAGAGAUAGUUUCAUUAAAUUUCUCAUCUAUAUGCCUUUUCUUUUUCUUGCCUAGAAUUGCAGUGGCUGGAAAACUGCAGUAGUAAGUUUGUUGCCUAACGAUGGCAGGAAUGAACAUCCUUUCAUUGUUCCUAAUCUUAGAGGGAACACAGACUUUAAACGUUAAGUACGAUGCCAGAUUUUUUUUCUGUAGAUCCUUUUUAUAAAACUGAGGAAGUUCCUUCUUUAUGAUCUACUGAGAAUAUUGAUGUGUUGAUUUUUAUAUCAAAUGCCUUUUCUAAAUGAAUUGAUACACUCAUGUUUUUCUUCUUUAGCCUAUUGAUAGUUUAUUAAAUGGACUUUCCAGUAUUGAACCAGCCCUGCAUGCCUGAAAUAAGUUCCUCAUAAAAUGUAAUUCCAGCUACUCGGGAGGCUGAGGCAGGAGAAUCGCUUGAACCCAGGAGGCAGAGGUUGCAGUGAGCUGAGAUUGUGCACUCCAGCCUAGGUGACAGAGUGAGACUCUGUCUCCAAAAAAAAAAAAAAAAAAAAAAAAAGAGUUGAGAAGUGUUCCCUCUUCUAUUUUCUUUGGAAGAGGUUGCACAAAAUCAAUUCUUCUUUUGAAUGUUUAGCAAAAUUCUCCAGUGAAACCAUCAGGACUUGGAGGUAUCUUUUUCAAGGAUGUUUUCAUUACAAGUUCAGCAUCUUUAAUGGUUUCAGAAUUACUCAAGUUCUCUAUUUCAUCUUGGCCAAGUUCUUUUUU